rnacentral:tRNA from 1 species
CAAGGAGUAGUUUAAAAUAGAAUAUCAACUUUGGGUGUUGAUGGUAGGAGUAUA